GGGAAUAUUGCACAAUGGGGGAAACCCUGAUGCAGCGACGCCGCGUGAGCGAUGAAGUAUUUCGGUAUGUAAAGCUCUAUCAGCAGGGAAGAAAAUGACGGUACCUGACUAAGAAGCCCCGGCUAAAUACGUGCCAGCAGCCGCGGUAAUACGGAGGAUCCGAGCGUUAUCCGGAAUGAUUGGGUGUAAAGGGAGCGUAGACGGUGAUGCAAGUCAGAAGUGAAAGCCCGGGGCUCAACUCCGGGACUGCUUUUGAAACUGUGUGACUGGAGUGCAGGAGAGGUAAGCGGAAUUCCUGGUGUAGCGGUGAAAUGCGUAGAUAUCAGGAGGAACACCAGUGGCGAAGGCGGCUUACUGGACUGUAACUGACGUUGAGGCUCGAAAGCGUGGGGAGCAAACAGG
rnacentral:rRNA from 1 species